UGCCCAUACCUUAUCUCCUUUCACCAGACCCCUCCUCCCCGUCACCCUCCCCUGGCCCGACUCGCUGCCCUCUCCCCGUCGCCCUCCAUGGCGCUGACCUAGGGUUUGUGGCGGCGCCCUCCCUUCCCCUCCCCGUCACUCUCCCCCUGCGGACUCCAGCGCGCCGUGUUCCAGCCCCUGCGCGCGGCAAGACUCGCGCCGAAUCCAGCCCCUGCGCGCGGCAGGAGUCUCCACCGCCGUCGCUCGUCAGGCUCCUCAAGGUUGUGUCUCGGUUGGAUUGGUACAGAAAGCAUUAAGCAGGAUUUGCAUGUGGUAACAUAUGGGCACAACGUGCUGCGGAAUUUCCAUGUCAGUUAAUUCUGUAUGCUCAAAUACCUGACAAGGCGCUGCCCUUAAUAUUUGGUUUAUUGUUCUUCCAUGACAAGGCUGUACUACUACUUGACUGAUACUGGAUUGGAAACUUAAUUUGUCCAUUUACUUUUAGCCAAUGUAAUUCUACUGCUUACUGUUCCGUGAUUACAUGAGGUUUGAUAGCUUGCAGUUAUGUACAUUAACAUAAUUCUGCUCUUUUUUCAUAUAAAGCGCAACUGCAUUAGUAAGUGGAACAGGAAGGAGUGGAAGAGGAGCAACUUCCGGGAGGCUUGCAACUUUGUUGGGUUUCAAUGCUUGAUAUGUAGCUUACUACUAGUUGUUUAGGAAACCCACUACUUUUGUUAGACAUGUCAUUUAGACCUAUGUGUUGGUGUUUGACAUGUUCUCUGGAUUUAUAUGUUGUCAUCAAAACAUGGUACUAAGAUGGCAUGUUAUAUGGAUUUGGUUUGUUGUUGUUAAUGUAAUAUUUGUCAAAUUAUUUUGUUGUGUGAUAUUUAAUUCUGUUUACAUGGAUUGUCA